rnacentral:lncRNA from 1 species
AUGGGGGAGGGGGGAUCAGAGACUGGAGGGGGGAGGAAGGGGGAGGGGGGAAUCAGAGAUGGGGGCGGGGGAUCAGAGAAUGGAGGGGGGAGGGGGGAGGAUGGGGGUGGGGGGUCAGAGACUGCAGGGGGGAGGAUGGGGGCGGGGGGAGUCAGAGAUGGGGGGAUGGGGGGAUCAAAGACUAGAGGGGGGAGGAUGAGGGAGAGGGGAUCAGAGACUGGAGGGGGGAGGAGGGGGGGAGGGGGGAAUCAGAGAUGGGGGAGGAUGGGGGCGGGGGAUCAGAGACUGGAGGGGGGAGGAUGGGGGAGGGGGGAUCAGAGACUGGAGGGGGGAGGAUGGGGGUGGGGGGUCAGAGAUGGGGGAGGGGGGAGGAUGGGGAAUAGGGAAAGGGUGAUCAGGAACUGGGGGACAGGACAGGGGCUGGGGAAUCAGAGACUGGAGGGGGGAGGAUGGGGGCGGGGGGAGUCAGAGAUGGGGGAGGAUGGGGGGAUGGGGGAUCAGAGACUGGAGGGGGGAGGAGGGGGGGAGGAUGAGGGAGAGGGGAUCAGAGACUGGAGGGGGGAGGGGGGGAGGAUGGGGGAGGGGGGAUCAGAGACUGGAGGGGGGAGGAGGGGGGGAGGGGGGAUCAGAGACUGGAGGGGGGAGGAGGGGGGGAGGGGGGAUCAGAGACUAGAGGAGGGAGGAUGGGGGAGGGCAGGGGAUCAGAGAUCGGGGAGCCAGGGAAAGGGUCGGGGGCGGGGGGGGGCCGGGGGGGCAGGGUUAGGGGGAAGGGGAGGGGAGAUGCGAGAGGAGGGGCAAUCGGAGGUGGGCGGGACGCGGGGCGGGCCCGGGGCCGGCAGGGAAGUCCGGAGUCGGAGCCCGGCGCCCACAGGCGGCCGCGGCCUCUCGCUGCCCUGGGGGCUUCCCCCGGGUCCGUGGAAGCCCUGGGGGCGCGCGGGGCGGCGCGCGCGCGGGGCGCCGGAGACCGCGGGUCCCGGGGCCCCGCGCGCGGGGGGCGGCCGCCCUUCCGCCGCCCCGGCGGGUGGCUGCUGUUGGCUUGCUGGCUCUGGCUGCCCGCGCGCUGCCCCGGCCGCUCCCCCGGCGCCGGCGAGCUGCGGUGCCUGCAGAUGUCGGCCUUCGCCAACCGCAGCUGGGCGCGCUCCGACGGCCUGGGGCUGGUCGGGGGGCUGCGCGCCUACCGCUGGGGCGGCGCCUCGGACGCCCUGCGCUUCCUCAAGCCCUGGGCCCGGGGCUCGUGGGGCAAUGCGGCUAGUGGGAACGACUGCAGCACGUUCCGACGUGUACCGCAGGAGCCAGAUUAAAGGGCCGCAGACGUGCAGGAAGUUCGUCAAAAAGUCGCUUGGCCUCUGUUGCGCUGGGAACGGCGGCACCCCCCCCGGGGCCGGCCCCCCUCCCCCUCCCCCUCCCCCUCCCCCUCCCCCGCCCCCCGGGGCCGGCGUCGCCCCCUCCACCCCCCCCCCGCCCGGCGUCCCCCCUCCACCCCCCCCCCCCCCCUCCCCCUCCCCCUCCCCCUCCCCCCGGGGCCCGGUGUAG